AAAAUCAUAUAUUAUUUAAUAAAAUCUAUUAUUUUUAAAUAUUAUGGUAAAAAUAUGAUAGUAUAAAUUAUUAUUUAUAUUAUUUUUAUCUGUUUAAAAGGCAUAAUAAUUUAAGUAAUAUUUAUAUUUACAAAAUAAUAUAGAAUUACCGUCAUUUAUUAAUACUGGAAUAAAAAACAAAAUACUAGCAUUUAUAUAAUACUGCAAAUUAUAUAAUAAUUAUCGGCAUUUUAUUAGUGCUGGAAAUGACUAACAAAUACAAGCAUUUAAAUAAUGUCGGUAAUAGUCAUCUCUAUAACGGCAUUUAUUUAUUGUCACUAAUUACUGAACAUUAACGGUAAUCUAUUUAAAUGCCGGUAGAAGAUUUACCAACAC
rnacentral:lncRNA from 1 species